rnacentral:rRNA from 1 species
CCUACGGGUGGCAGCAGUGAGGAAUAUUGGUCAAUGGACGAGAGUCUGAACCAGCCAAGUCGCGUGAAGGAUGACUGCCCUAUGGGUUGUCAACUUCUUUUAUGUGGGAAUAAAAUGUUCCACGUGUGGGAUUUUGUAUGUACCAUAUGACUAAGGAUCGGCUAACUCCGUGCCAGCAGCCGCGGUAAUACGGAGGAUCCGAGCGUUAUCCGGAUUUAUUGGGGUAAAGGGGAGCGUAGGUGGAUUGUUAAGUCAGCGGGAAAAUUUCGGGGCUCAACCCCGUCGUGCCGUUGAAACUGGCGUUCUUGAGUGAGCGAGAAGUAGGCGGAAUGCGUGGUGUAGCGGUGAAAUGCAUAGAUAUCACGCAGAACUCCGAUGGCGAAGGCAGCAUACCGGCGCUCAACUGACGCUCAUGCACGAAAGCGUGGGUAUCGAACAGGAUUAGAUACCCGAGUAGUC